CAGGUCCUAGAUCUACUUUGCCUCCCAGCACGACAGUGAGUCCUACAGAAGUUUCGACUGUUACUUCUACUUCGACCCGAGACACCACAGUGAGACCAACUACCAGUUUGACCUCUCCUUUGACCCCCAGCACGGCAGUGAAUCCUACAUCAGGUGUGUUGGUCAUCUUUAUCAUGAAGAAGGCAUGACAAUGCCUAUCCCCUCUCAGGAGACCGAAAAGAUUUGGCAUGGGUCCUCAGAUCCUCAAAAAGUUAUACAGCUGCACCAUAGAGAGCAAGGCUUAGUUUGGCAACUUCUCGGCAUCCGACCGCAGAGGUUAGUGUGUACGGCCCAGUACAUCUCUUGGGACAAGAUUCCUGACAUCCAGGACAUCUAUAUCAGGCGGGGUCAGAGGAAGGCCCUUUAAAAUUGUCAAAGACUCCAGCCACCCAAGUCAUGAACUGUUCUCUCUGCUACUGCAUGGCAAGUGGUAUUGGAUUGCCAAGUCCAGGUCCAAAAGACUCCUUAACAGCUUCUACCCCCAAGCUAUAAGACUGCUGAAGAGUUAAUGAAAUGGCUAACCAGACUAUAUGCAUUGACCCCCUUUUUUAUUCUGCUGCUACUCUUUAU